UACGGAGGGUGCAAACGUUGCUCGGAAUCAUUGGGCGUAAAGCGCACGUAGGCGGCCUGUUAAGUCGGAUGUGAAAGCCCCGGGCUCAACCCGGGAAGUGCAUUCGAAACUGGCGGGCUUGAAUAUGGAAGAGGGUCGCGGAAUUCCCGGUGUAGAGGUGAAAUGCGUAGAUAUCGGGAGGAACAUCUGUGGCGAAGGCGACACCCUGGACCAGCACUGACACUGAGGCACGAAAGCGUGGGGAGCAAACAGG
rnacentral:rRNA from 1 species